GUUUGGGAAUAGGUUUGGGUUUAAAGUCAAGUUGUGGGUUAGUAUUGGCAAAUUCUCUUACUUUAACCACUUUUACCUCCAUUUUUUAAAGAGUGAUUUACAUUUAAAAGAAGUUUCUGAGUUUUUAUUACACUUAGAGACAGUUUCAACUACUAAAGUAGUUUAUCUCAACUAAAACAGAACCAGCAAGUGUGUUUUUUAACUAGUGGGACCCAUCAGUUUCUCUUUCCUUAUCUUCUUCUUUUUAUGUUGUUUCUUUUUUUCUUUUAAGCCAAA
rnacentral:lncRNA from 1 species